UCCCUUGUAGCUCAGUCGGUAAAGAAUCUGCCUGCAAUGCAGGAGGCCUGGGUUCAAUUCCUGGGUUGGGAA
rnacentral:tRNA from 1 species